CCUACGGGAGGCAGCAGUGGGGAAUAUUGGACAAUGGGGGGAACCCUGAUCCAGCCAUGCCGCGUGUGUGAAGAAGGCUCUCGGGUUGUAAAGCACUUUCAGUGAGGAAGAACGCCUGGUGGUUAAUACCCAUCAGGAAAGACAUCACUCACCGAAGAAGCACCGGCUAACUCCGUGCCAGCAGCCGCGGUAAUACGGAGGGUGCGAGCGUUAAUCGGAAUGACUGGGCGUAAAGCGCGCGUAGGUGGCUUGAAUCAGCCGGUUGUGAAAGCCCCGGGCUCAACCUGGGAACGGCAUCCGGAACUGUCAGACUAGAGUGCAGGAGAGGAAUGUAGAAUUCCCAGUGUAGAGGUGAAAUGCGUAGAGAUCGGGAAGAAUACCGGUGGCGAAGGCGGCCAUCUGGAUUGAGACUGACACUGAGGUGCGAAAGCGUGGGUAGCAAACAGGAUUAGAUACCCUAGUAGUC
rnacentral:rRNA from 1 species